rnacentral:SRP_RNA from 1 species
AGGUGGACUAGGUCGGGCAGUUAGGCCCUGCUCGUCACCCGCACUAUGGUCUUUAGCGGGGACCGAACCCCGGGCACGUCCGGUCAGACCGGUCGGGGCCCCGGGAGCCAACGUGGAAGCCUCGUCCAUCGGGGGCAGCGGUCCGCGACGGCCAUCCGCAGGGAUGUCCCGUCGCGGUUCGUCGGUGGCAAUCCGUCAGGCGCGGAAGCGAGCAGCGGACCGCCGGACACCUGUCGCUCGAUGGGUCGCGGGGUGGAGGAGGCAACCGGGAUUCCCCCGUCCGGAACGCCGGGCAACCUCGGGCGUCCGCCA